GGAAGUGGUAGCUCAGUGGUUAGGAUGUUGGACUACUGAUCAGAAGGUUAUGGUUACAAAUCCCAGCACUGUCA